rnacentral:rRNA from 1 species
CCUACGGGAGGCAGCAGUAGGGAAUCUUCCGCAAUGGACGAAAGUCUGACGGAGCAACGCCGCGUGAGCGAUGAAGGCCUUCGGGUCGUAAAGCUCUGUUGUUAGGGAAGAAUAAGUGCUAGUUGAAUAAGCUGGCACCUUGACGGUACCUAACCAGAAAGCCACGGCUAACUACGUGCCAGCAGCCGCGGUAAUACGUAGGUGGCAAGCGUUAUCCGGAAUUAUUGGGCGUAAAGCGCGCGCAGGCGGUUUGAAUAGUCAGGUGUGAAAGCCCUUGGCUUAACCAAGGAAGUGCACUUGAAACUUUCAGACUUGAGUACGGGAGGGGGAAGUGGAAUUCCCGGUGUAGAGGUGAAAUUCGUAGAUAUCGGGAGGAACACCAGUGGCGAAGGCGGCUCUCUGGUCCGAUACUGACGCUGAGACGCGAAAGCGUGGGGAGCAAACAGGAUUAGAUACCCUGGUAGUCCACGCCGUAAACGAUGGGCACUAGGUGUAGGAGGUAUUGACCCCUUCUGUGCCGAAGCUAACGCAUUAAGUGCCCCGCCUGGGGAGAUACGGCCGCAAGGCUAAAACUCAAAGGAAUGACGG